AUUGAACGCUGGCGGCAGGCCUAACACAUGCAAGUCGAGCGGUAGCACAGAGAGCUUGCUCUCGGGUGACGAGCGGCGGACGGGUGAGUAAUGUCUGGGAAACUGCCUGAUGGAGGGGGAUAACUACUGGAAACGGUAGCUAAUACCGCAUAACGUCGCAAGACCAAAGUGGGGGACCUUCGGGCCUCAUGCCAUCAGAUGUGCCCAGAUGGGAUUAGCUAGUAGGUGGGGUAACGGCUCACCUAGGCGACGAUCCCUAGCUGGUCUGAGAGGAUGACCAGCCACACUGGAACUGAGACACGGUCCAGACUCCUACGGGAGGCAGCAGUGGGGAAUAUUGCACAAUGGGCGCAAGCCUGAUGCAGCCAUGCCGCGUGUGUGAAGAAGGCCUUCGGGUUGUAAAGCACUUUCAGCGGGGAGGAAGGCGAUAAGGUUAAUAACCUCAUCGAUUGACGUUACCCGCAGAAGAAGCACCGGCUAACUCCGUGCCAGCAGCCGCGGUAAUACGGAGGGUGCAAGCGUUAAUCGGAAUUACUGGGCGUAAAGCGCACGCAGGCGGUCUGUCAAGUCGGAUGUGAAAUCCCCGGGCUCAACCUGGGAACUGCAUUCGAAACUGGCAGGCUAGAGUCUUGUAGAGGGGGGUAGAAUUCCAGGUGUAGCGGUGAAAUGCGUAGAGAUCUGGAGGAAUACCGGUGGCGAAGGCGGCCCCCUGGACAAAGACUGACGCUCAGGUGCGAAAGCGUGGGGAGCAAACAGGAUUAGAUACCCUGGUAGUCCACGCCGUAAACGAUGUCGAUUUGGAGGUUGUGCCCUUGAGGCGUGGCUUCCGGAGCUAACGCGUUAAAUCGACCGCCUGGGGAGUACGGCCGCAAGGUUAAAACUCAAAUGAAUUGACGGGGGCCCGCACAAGCGGUGGAGCAUGUGGUUUAAUUCGAUGCAACGCGAAGAACCUUACCUGGUCUUGACAUCCACAGAACUUUCCAGAGAUGGAUUGGUGCCUUCGGGAACUGUGAGACAGGUGCUGCAUGGCUGUCGUCAGCUCGUGUUGUGAAAUGUUGGGUUAAGUCCCGCAACGAGCGCAACCCUUAUCCUUUGUUGCCAGCGGUUAGGCCGGGAACUCAAAGGAGACUGCCAGUGAUAAACUGGAGGAAGGUGGGGAUGACGUCAAGUCAUCAUGGCCCUUACGACCAGGGCUACACACGUGCUACAAUGGCAUAUACAAAGAGAAGCGACCUCGCGAGAGCAAGCGGACCUCAUAAAGUAUGUCGUAGUCCGGAUUGGAGUCUGCAACUCGACUCCAUGAGGUCGGAAUCGCUAGUAAUCGUAGAUCAGAAUGCUACGGUGAAUACGUUCCCGGGCCUUGUACACACCGCCCGUCACACCAUGGGAGUGGGUUGCAAAAGAAGUAGGUAGCUUAACCUUCGGGAGGGCGCUUACCACUUUGUGAUUCAUGACUGGGGUGA
rnacentral:rRNA from 1 species